rnacentral:rRNA from 1 species
GAACUGUGCGAACGUUAUUCGGAAUCACUGGGCUUAAAGGGUGCGUAGGCGGCUUCGUAGGGUCGGGGGUGUGAAAGCCCUCGGGCUCAACCGAGGGAAUUGCGCUCCAAACCACGGAGCUUGAGGAAGACAGAGGUGAGCGGAACUGAUGGUGGAGCGGUGAAAUGCGUUGAUAUCAUCAGGAACACCGGUGGCGAAAGCGGCUCACUGGGUCGUUUUCUGACGCUGAGGCACGAAAGCUAGGGGAGCGAACGGGAUUAGAUACCCCGGUAGUCCUAGCUGUAAACGAUGAGCACUAGUCCGUGGGGGCUCCCACACCCUCUCGGACGUAGCGAAAGUGUUAAGUGCUCCGCCUGGGGAGUAUGGUCGCAAAGGCUG